UACGGGGGGAGCAAACGUUGUUCGGAAUCACUGGGCGUAAAGCGCACGUAGGCGGACUCUUAAGUCGGUGGUGAAAUCCUGGAGCUCAACUCCAGAACUGCCUUCGAUACUGGGAGUCUCGAGUCCGGGAGAGGUGAGUGGAACUGCGAGUGUAGAGGUGAAAUUCGUAGAUAUUCGCAAGAACACCAGUGGCGAAGGCGGCUCACUGGCCCGGUACUGACGCUGAGGUGCGAAAGCGUGGGGAGCAAACAGG
rnacentral:rRNA from 1 species